AUCCUCCCGCCUUGGCCUCCCAAAGUGCUGGGAUUACAGGCGUGAGCCACAGCACCUGGCCAUCUUACCCAUUUUUAUAUCCUGCUGCCCACCCCCUCCAGCAACUAGGCCUGCACCUAGAAAGAUAUUAUCAAAUGUCCCUGCCACAUCCCUGCCAGUAUCCCUGUCUGUCCCCAGCCAGCCCACACAACGGAUGCACAGAAAGGACCUGUCUUCUUUGACAAAGGAGGCUGAUGAUCUAAUACUCUCUUCUGACUUCCUAGCUUGAAUGCUGUUCCAUCUCUUCCUCCCACAGACCAGGACUCAAAGGGCAGCGCAUUUUCUCUGGAAAGACCCAUGUCAUAAUGCACCUUUGUAUGAAGCAGCAACCUUUGCACUGUCUCCAGUUAGUACUUUCAGAGGAAUUAGCUUAUCAGAGUAACUAGUUGGCACCUUAACAGGCAUGCAGAAUCUGACUCAGGAACAGAGACUCAAGAGAACUAAGGUGCAGUAGGAAGCAGGUGGCAGAGUGAAGAUGUGAGUAGUGGGAAAUAGUGUGAGUUAUCUGGGGUAGAAAAGGUAGAUUGGGAGCAAAACCGGCAAGGGGACAAGGGCUGGGUAAUGGGUAAAUUAUAAUGGCCUCUUCCUCAUUUAAGAGGCCAUUACAAUAAAUUUUACCUACUUUACCAAACAGCUUAAAGCCAAAGUGGGAGCUCAAAACCAGGAAGGAGCCAGGCACAGUGGCAUAUGCCUGUGGUCUCAGCUACUCAGGAGGCCAAGAUAAGAGGAUCACUUGAGCCCAGGAGUUUAAGACCAGCCCCGGCAACACAGUGAGACCUCAAAAACAACCCAGUUAUGGCAUGAGAAUCUGGCUGGAUGUGCUUCACCACCACCCAGAAGAGCCCCAUGGGGAUGUAGAGAUUAAAUCCAAUCAUCUCUAAGGUCCAUUCCCAACUGGAAUUUUAGAAUUUCAGAAUUGAAGAUGCAGAGUACUGAGCCCUCCACCUGCAAAUGCAUACAGCCAUGAACAGAUGGGUGUAAACUGAGGCAGUGGAGGGAGAGGGGUACUCCCAAGCCCUGAAAAUCUCAGAGUAAGAGGCCACCGACGACAGCGCUCACCGGUGCUGAGCUCCCUUCUACAGAAACCUGCAAAGACUCAGAUCGAGGAGGAAAUACACCAGGAAAAUGUCACAGGAUCAUCUCGAGCAGUCCCUUCCAGCGCCAAGCCAUUCAUUCAAGAAUGACUCAGGGCCGGGCGUGGUGGCUCACACCUGUAAUCCCAGCACUUUGGGAGGCCGAGGCAGGCGGAUCACGAGGUCAAGA
rnacentral:lncRNA from 1 species